rnacentral:pre_miRNA from 1 species
ACCACAUUUGGACCGUCGAUCUACCGAGCAGUAGACCGGCUCGGUGGAAGAUCUCCUCUUCGUUGU